rnacentral:rRNA from 1 species
AUUGAACGCUGGCGGCAGGCCUAACACAUGCAAGUCGAACGAGUGGCGGACGGGUGAGUAAUGUCUGGGAAACUGCCUGAUGGAGGGGGAUAACUACUGGAAACGGUAGCUAAUACCGCAUACCAUCGGAUGUGCCCAGAUGGGAUUAGCUAGUAGGUGGGGUAAAGGCUCACCUAGGCGACGAUCCCUAGCUGGUCUGAGAGGCUGACAAGCCACACUGGAACGGAGAAACGGGCCAGACGCCUCCGGGAGGCAGCAGUGGGGAAGAGUGCACAAUGGGCGCAAGCCUGAUGCAGCCAUGCCGCGUGGAUGAAGAAGUCCUUCGGGUUGUAAAGUACUUUCAGCGGGGAGGCGUUACCCGCAGAAGAAGCACCGGCUAACUCCGUGCCAGCAGCCGCGGUAAUUC